rnacentral:misc_RNA from 1 species
GUGAAUCAUCAAAUUUUUGAACGCAAAUUGCACUCUCUUCGGAGAGUAUGCCUGUUCGAGGGUCAGCCUAUAAAAAUCGACACCGUUGCCGUUUUGUGGUGGCGAUCGUCGGUAAUUGGGCCACCUUAAUUCCCUUUGAUUUAAGUGACUUAACAUUUCCCUUUGGUUUCAUGAACGUUUCUAAGAUCAAUUUCCUUACACGUUAAUGGUAUCGAUUUAUACUAUAAGUCA